GCUGCUGACCCCGCUGACGCCGCCUGUGCUGGCGCUGCUGUGGCUGCUCCUCUUCCAGCCCUCUCGGAUGCUGCUGGCCCGCUGCCUCGGGCUGUGCUCUCUGAUGUAGUUACGCACCUGGAGAUGGCGCCGGGUUAGGGGACAUGGACGCUUUCGCAUGACGGACCAGAGCUGUGUCACAUGACCCACCUGCUUGAGCUUCUCAUCGGUAAGACAGUUGAGCUCAAUGAUGAACUCGCUGUCUGUGGGAGAGAUUUGAGCGCAGGGGUCGAUGAUCUUAAUGAUGUCCAGCUGCUCUCGCAGGCCCAUCUCUGUGCUGACCUUACGACUCAGGUACUCGAUGUACUCCACCUGAAAGAGCGACGCAGGUUUCAGGUGGCUGCAUGUUGUCCUCCACCUGCAAACCCUGCCAGUGUUGGAAGUACUUGUUCGUCAUUGGUCAUGGCGCUCCAAGGCAGCUCAUCCAGGUUGCGGUGAGGGUGAGCUUUGGGCUUCCUCUUGGGAACCAGACAAGGUGAACUUGGGACGCUAGGAAUGAUGUCGGACAGGACAUCACUGCCGCUGGUGAUGUCGCUUCCUGGCAACUGGAGGACAGCGUUUAACCUCACAUUCAUCUACAACCAAUCAGUUGAAUCCGAAAUGAAUCGCCAACCCACCUGCCACUCAAACUCGCUGUCGGACCAGUCCCAGUAGGUGCUAAUCGAGGAGGAAACGUCGCUGCACACGCUGCCCUCCGGAAACAGGUCCAGGGAUGUCAGAUCCUGGUCAUCCAGUAGGGAGUAGCAGUCGUCCUGGUCGCCGACAGACACAGAGGAGAAGAGCUCCUCGCUGCACUCGGAGCUGGCCACACUCGUCCCACAGGAAGUCAGGUUCCACCUGGAGAACCGCAAGUGGAUGAAUUAUUAGCUCACAAUUCAUCAGACAUAAGAUUACAAGUAAGAACGACUUAAGAGUCAUAAGAUAAGUCAACUAAUUAAUGUGAUUGCCUCUCCCGUUAGCUGAUGAUUGACCGCCAACACGCCUGCAUCUUAGUGCGAUUCUGUAAUUAUCAUUACCUUUUAGCGAUGAAUCAACCCACCUCUCCCACGGGAGACAAUGCGCUACUUGCCUGUUACUGUGGAAGCGGCGUAGGGGGUCUGUCCUGUGACAGGAUGAGAGCUGACAGCCAAAAUCACUGACAUCAAGCGUUCCCACAUCACUGAGAUUGGCUCUCUGGGAGAGGAGAGGGAAAGGCUCCUCGGGGGCCAAAAACUUCUCAUACAGAGAAUCAGACAUGGCUGCGUGUACCUGAUGCCAAAGGAGAGACAUUAAGAUUACAUGCAGAAUAAGAGUGUGACAAAAUGUCGAUAUGGAAAACUAUCAGUUUACUAUAUUUAACCUUACGAUGGACUAUCGACACGCUGUCGCCGUGUAUCGUUUUUAAAAUUACUAUUCAAAUAUAAUCACCACAAACCGCUGGAGAACGGAGCCUGUUAUUAUCGCCAUAUCGAGAUAUUACAGUUAUCAUGAGCCAGUAUCAUCGCAUGGUAUCGUGAGGUACCCCGAGAUUCCCAGCCCUAACGUAGAAAUGCCUGCCAAACAUGCCAAAUGUCAGUAUAAUUGUAACAGUAUACAUUAAAACAAGGCAAAAAUGAAAAUGCAACCACGUGAUAUCAUCUGAAUUUAAGACGAGUAGCUCCAAACCAGUCUUACCAUGAUGACAACUGCCACUUUCAACGACAAAACCAAUUCAGCCGAAUUAUAGCAAAUACAGUGAAGCUAAAGACAUAUUUUAUUGUUUCAUUUUCAAUGCAGCUAAACAGAGUUUCGCUGUUUUUCGCUUAAUGUUGUAGUCGCUGGCACUUUGACGUCACCCUUGUUUUUUAAAUCGUCAAGUAAAACAGAAGGCAAACUUGCUGUCGUGCACUCCAAGUAAACAUGUAAAAGGAAGAUGAACUGCGUUUUUGGAGUAUUGUUUGCGGCAAGUUCCUGUUUUUACAAGUGUUUUGUUUUGCUUAGUGGGUCAUUGCGUGGUGUAAUAGCGCAGCGCUAGCUAAUAUUGUUAGCUUGCGGCUAUUGCUAAAUGCCAACCAGGCGGCGACAAAAGCCAUCAAAUGAUAGCAAAGUCAUCCUACUAACAUACGACUGACUCUGAACCUAUUAAAUACAACUUGGGUAGAUUUGUGGGAUAAAAGAGGCAAAUAAUACCAACCUAUUGUCGUUCAAAGUCUGAGAUUUUCCGCAACCUCCAUUUGCAAAUCCUCGCCACCGACGAGCUAAUUGUUCUCGCGAGAAGUGACUCAUCGCGACGGCGGAAGUACGGAAGUGAGCUGAGAGCUUGUGGGAAGUGACGGAGGAGGCGGAAGUGACUGUCGAAUGCUCGAGGCGCCAAAAUUGAAGCGCGAAAAGUGCGAGAUAAGGAAUACAAUAAGUAUUGAAUAUAUAGUUGAGAGAUUUGAUAUCUGGACUGGAGGUGGGUUGUGGGAAGUGGACUGCAUAGGUCUCGGCCGACGGCCUAUAUGGGCCCGGUACGACGAGACCGGUGCGCCACGACCUGCAACAAACCAAAAGAGAUACGAAGAGCUGGUGGCGGUGGAGCGGAGGGAGCUGAAGUGCGAGUGCAACCAAACUGUACCGUGAGUGUAACAAUGGGCUGUAGCUCAGAUGAUGUUAGCGACGAAGGGGCAGAGGAGAUGGAGUACACACAGGUUAAAAUAGCAAGGAAACAGUCAUGGUCAGAAGCAAGCAGCGGGAAAGAUCAUGAUGGAAGACAAACAAAGAAAAAAAUACGAGCUAAAACAAAUGGCAAAGAAGAGUCAGAUGAAGAAUACAAAGUUAUUAUUACAAUGAGCAAAGAUAAAGGACAUUUUCACCCAGUUCAUCUGACUAAAGCAAUUGAAAAAGAAAUAGGGAAAGUUAAAUACGCCAAAAUGCUCAAUAACAGAAGAAUAUUAAUUUCGACAGCAAAUAAAAGACAGCAAGAAAACAUUAUGAGAUUGAAGUACCUUGAUGGAGGAGAAAUAAAAGUACACAUACCAGGAGAGGCAGCAGUAAUAAGAGGAGUUAUAUCAAACGUACCGUUGGAAAUGUCCAUGGAUGAGGUGAAGAGAGAAAUAAGAGGUGGCAAAAUAACAGAAGCUAGACGACUCCAAACCAGCAGAGGAGGAGUAAAAAGUGACAGUUUGUCUGUAUUACUUGUAUUUGAAAAGACAAUACCGACAGACAUACGUAUAGGAUGUAUGAAUUUUAGGGUGAGGGAGUACAUUCCUCAACCACUAAGAUGUUACAAAUGUCAGAGAAUGGGACACACAGCACAGCAAUGUCAGUGGAGGCAAAGGUGUGCAAAGUGUGGUGGAGAACAUGACUAUGGGAAAUGUGCUAGCGAUGCUAAACUAAGAUGUUGCAAUUGUGGAGGAGAACAUAGUGCCGCAUAUGGCGGAUGUGAAGUGCAAAGACAUGCCAAAGAAGUGCAAAAAUACAAAAGAGAAAAUAAGGUAUCAUAUGCUGAAGCAGUAAAGAAUAUAGGUAUGUGUGUAAUUAAGCAAAAUAAACCAGUAGAGAAUCAGGAAACUCAUAUAGACCAGACAGGACAAGUAGUAGGACUUCCUCAGAGAACAGACCAUAGAAGAUCUCAAUCAGAAUGGAAUGCUCCCCAACAGAAAUGUAAUCAUAAGUGUGCAAUUGAAGAAGACACAUUAGUAGUAAAUAAAAAGAACUUUGUAGCUUUUAUAUGUAAAGUCAUCAAUGUGGCCACGAGGCAGGAAAGGAAAAGUGACAGGAUCAAAACGGUUGUGGAAGCGGCAGAACAAUAUUUAAACAUCAAAGACGUGAAAGCAGAAGAAAUACAUAGUAUGUUGACUAUACAUAAUGAUGCAGGACCUCAGAACGGUAAUUAAAAUCACAAUGGUACUCCACAUCCUACAAUGGAAUGCAAGAAGUUUAAUAGCAAAUGGACAAGAACUUAAGAAAUAUAUAACAGAAAGUAGCAAAAGACCUGAUAUUAUAUGUGUGCAAGAAACGUGGCUUAGACCACAGCUGGAUUAUGUGUUGAAUGGCUAUGAAUCAGUGCGAUUCGAUCGAAAAGAAAACCAAGGGGGAGGGUGUGCAACAUUUGUGAGGGAUGGAAUAAUAUAUAAUAGAAUAACAACAGCAAAUGAAAUAGAAUGUGUGAUUGUUGAAAUACAUCAAGCAAAUACAAAUAUAAUCAUUAUUAAUAUAUAUAACCCCUGUAAACUACUAGAUGUUGAAACAAUGGAGAAGAUAAUAAGGAGGCAUGGUGGUAGAGAGAUCUGGUGUGGGGACUUUAAUGCACAUAAUAGUUUAUGGGGAAGUAAGCAAACAGAUCACAAUGGAAUAGUAGUAGAAGAACUCAUGGAUAUCAGACAGUUAGUAUGCUUAAACAAGGGAAAUGGAACAAGAAUAGAUAUACGGUCAAAUACAAUGUCAUGCAUUGAUUUAACUCUGGUCUCACAUAGCUUGGCAAGUUCCUGUGAAUGGUAUGUAAAUGAAACCACAAGUAUAGGAAGUGACCAUUUUCCGAUAAGUUGUACAAUAAACGCAGAAGUAGAUAUCAAAGAAAGACACAGACAUAAAAAGUGGUGCUUUUCAAAAGCGGAUUGGGGAAAAUUCAGGGAGGAAUGUAGUAAAGCAGCAAAUUCAAUAUCAAUGGAAGGUGGCAUAGAGGAAUGCGCAGUUAAGAUCACAAAUAAGAUAAUAGAGGCAGCAAUGAAAAGUAUACCGUGUAAGUCAAUUGGAGGGGAAAGGAAAAUGGUUCCAUGGUGGAAUGAAAAGUGCACAACAGCUGUAAAAGAAAGAAAUUGCGCAUUAAGAAGGUUAAGGAAGAACCUCAGCCAAGAAAAUGUAAUAAAUUAUCAGAGGAAAAAAGCUAUAGCCCGAAGAGUAAUUAAAAACAGUAAACAAAACGCAUGGAGGGAUUAUUGCUCUGCCAUAGGAAGGGAAAUUAAGAUAGGAGAUGUAUGGUCAAUGUUAAAGAAGAUGAGUGGGAAAAACGUGUUUACUAAAAUACCUAUAUUAGAAGAUAAGGGAACAAUGUAUGUGACUGAUAAAGAAAAAGCAAAUGUGCUGGGGAAAAAGUUUGCAGGGGUGCAUAGUGGAGACCAUCUGGAUGAAAAUCAUAGACGAGGGAAGGAGAGGAUGAUUAAAAAGAAUAGGGAUGUGUUACUAAAACAGGAUAGUGAGGAGAGUGUGAUGGAUGUUGAAAUUAAUAUCAAUGAAUUGCUAAUAGUAUUAAAUAAAAGUAAAGAUACUGCAACAGGAGAAGACCAAUUGAGUUAUAUUAUGUUCCAGAAUCUACCAGAAAAUAUGUUGGGAAAAAUAUUAUAUUUAUUUAACAAAAUAUGGGAAGAAGGGAUAAUACCAAAGCAAUGGAAAAGUGCAUUAAUUUUACCAUUUAAUAAACCCGGUAAGGAUCCAAAACACCCUGUGAAUUAUCGACCUAUUGCUCUUACAUCACAUCUAUGCAAAUGGAUGGAGAAAGUUCUAGUCAGAAGACUUAACUAUUUCCUUGAAAGUCGAGAGUUACUUACAACUUAUCAGUGUGGGUUUAGAAAAGGACGAUCAACAAUGGAUGCUGUAGUUAGAGUAAGUAAUGAAAUAGAGAAAACCUUUAAAAUGAAAGAGUUGAUGAAUAUUGUAUUCUUUGAUAUUGAAAAGGCUUAUGAUUCCAUGUGGCGGGAGGGUUUAUUGAUUAAGAUGAAUAGGAUGGGAAUUAGAGGUAGGUUCUAUAACUGGGUCCUUGAUUUCAUAUCGGACAGAAAGUUCAAAGUUAAAGUAGGAUCAGAGAUGUCAGAAGAAUACAGUAUAGCAAAUGGUAUACCACAGGGGAGUGUAAUUAGUCCAGUUUUGUUUAACAUAAUGAUAAAUGAUAUAUUCAUGAAUCUGGAUAGAAGGAUUGGGUCGGCCCUAUAUGCAGAUGAUGGAGUGAUUUGGGCAAGGGGACGAGAUUCUAUAAAUGUGACAAGUAAAAUGAAGGAAGCAAUAAAGAAGAUAGAACAAUGGUCAUAUGACUGGGGAUUUAAGCUAUCACCUAAUAAAACAUGUUACAUGACGAUUACCCGGAAAAAAGGCAUAAAAAAUCAGAACCUGAUGCUAUAUGGACAAAACAUGAUAAAAGUAGAUCAUUUUAAAUAUCUUGGUAUGUGGCUAGAUCAGAAAGGCACAUGGAAGACCCAUGUGGAAAAGGUAGAAGAGAAAUGUAAGAGGAUAAUAAACUUAAUGAGAGCUGUUACAGGUAAGGAGUGGGGAGCAGAUAAACAGUCACUAAUAUAUAUAUAUAGAGCUUUGAUGAGAGCAAAUAUAGAUUAUGGAAGUUUUGUAUAUGGAGCUGCAGCUAAAACACAUUUAAUGAAAAUAGAAAGAAAUAUUCACAAAGCAUUUAGGAUAUGUACAGGUGCAAUCAUAUCAACACCAAUUAAAGCAAUGCAGGUGGAGUUAGGAGAAGUACCGUAUGACCUGAGAAGAGAUCAACUUAUGUUAACAUACUGGAGUAGACUUAAAGGAUGUAGGCAUGGACAUCUGGCCAAGAAUGUGAUAGAGGAAUGUUAGGAGUAUAAUACAACUAAAAGUAAUAGCUUUGGGUGGGUAAUUAAAGAUAAAAUAGAUAAAUAUAACAUAAAAAAUAUACAUAUUAAUAAUUCUACACCCAUAAGCAAUAUUCCUAUUUGGCUAUUUCCGAAACCUGAAGUAGAUAUACAUAUAACAGAGUUAAAAAAUAAAUGGAAAGAUAAUGAAAAAGGACAUAAGGCAAGUCAAUAUAUUAAAAACAAAUAUUAUGGUUACUUAGAUAUGUAUACAGAUGGAUCAAAAAGCGAAGAAGGGAAGGUGGGGAUUGGAAUCUAUGUACCAACAAUGAAUUAUAGCAUCAUUAAAAGAUUACCUGACCAGCUCUCGGUUUAUACAGCAGAAAUGAUGGCAAUUAUUAUAGGCUUGCAAUGGAUAGAGGAAAUAAAACCAGAUAGAGUGGUAUGUUGUGUGGACUCUCUGGCAGCAUUAUAUAGUAUUAAAAAUAUGGAAUCAAGUCGAGAGGAUUUAUUAUUAGAAAUACAUCAAAACUUAUUCCAACUACACAUGUUAAAAAUAGACAUAAGAUUUUGCUGGGUGCCUGCACAUGUAGGGGUGGAGGGGAAUGAGGUGGCAGAUAAAAUGGCUAAAAUGGGAAUUAGAAGGAAUGAAAUUAUAGAUAUACCUGCUGGUAAAGACGAAGUAAAGGCAAUAAUCAAAAAACAAAUGAUGGAGAAAUGGCAAAAUAGGUGGGAUAAGGGUAGUAGCGGGAGAAAGUAUUAUAAAGUACAAAAAUCUAUCAGCACACAAGGGGUGAAGAGAAAAAACAGAAAAGAGGAAAUAGUGUUAACUAGGAUGAGGCUCAAUCACACCGGGUUAAAUGACAAGAUGUUUUUGAUAGGGAAAUGUAAAUGAAAAGUAUGUAUGGAAUGCAAAAGUAUAGAGAACGUAGAACACAUAUUACUACACUGCAAGAGAUAUAGGGAAGAACGUGUAACGUUAAGGAAAAGAAUUAAGAAGAUAGGAAGGGAAUGGAGCAUUGAGGGUAUCUUAGGAACAGGUGGGGAGGGGGUAAGAGAUAUACAGAGGGCAGUGAUAGAAUAUUUGAAGGACACAGGAUUAUAUAAUAGAAUAUAGAUAAGUAUUAGAAUAUUUUAGUAUUAUAUUAUAUAGUAUUAUAUAGUAAUAUAUAGUAUUAUAUAAGUAUUAUUAUUAGGAUUAUUAUUAGUAGUAGUAUAAGUAGUCUCCUCACUAUCUAAGAUAGCAUAAAGUAAGAUACUGUAUAUGGCCCAUGUUACAUACUCCGGUACAGUAGGUGGCGGUAUGCACCUUUUCAAGUCAUGGUUGCAACCCGCCAUUAAACUAAAAGAAGAAGAAGAAGAAGAAGAAGACUCAUCGCGACAAUUACAUGAUCGUCAUGUGACACAACGCGGAAGUUAUCACAGACACCGAAAGAUAUGCACAUAUCUGUAAUUCCGUUCCAGUUACUACUUUGUACGGAAUUGCGUGUUUAGCAAUGUCACUAACCCAAGGAAAGGACAGCAGCUUUCUGGGUGGCAGAAUACCCCCAGAAAUCGAAUCUAUGGCAAAACACCUCAAGGAUGUGGAGCAAGAGAUGUUCAGAAAAUUACUGAAAGCUGUGGUGAAUGCCCUGGAGGGGAAGGACUGCAGAGACACGAUGAAGUCAAUAGCAGAAACUAGUGCGCUUCCGCAGGAGAAGCUCAGUCACAUCGUAGCUGGAAUGUACAGAUUAUUGUCUGAGGCUAUCCGCAUACCACCGGCAUUACUUAAACAGGAGGCCUUUAAAGAAGAUCUUCGCGACCUGAGGCAAGAAUCGUCAUUUAUUGAUCACUGUUCUCCGUCCUGUACUUCCUCUCCUGUUAAUGACUGCUUUGUUUUGACCUCAGGAUACCAGAAGACUUAAUAACAGAUUUCUGCAGUGUGGUUUUUGGAAAUCGGCGUGCAGCUCUGGAAGCAGCGACUUCUCAGAGGGACCCCCGCCUGCCUACAAUAGAUGCAUUUAAGUGGAGAGUGGACGUCGCCAUUUCUACAAGCUCUGUGGCCAAAGCACUGCAGCCUUCUGUGCUGAUGCAGAUGAAACUGUCCAAUGGACGCUCACAUCAAUUUGAGGGGGCGACAAACUCCAUGCUAGUCUCCUCAACUGAGACUGGCGACUGCUGUAGCUUCCACUAAAAGUAGAAAAAAAGUCAGAGGAUUGAGUCUGCUGCCACAGCAGGUGCCAGUGGCGAAAUUCCAGGAACUCCGCUACAACGUGGCUCUGAUUCUCAAAGAGAUGAACGAUCUGGAGAAGAGGAGCAUUCUGAGGAUACAAGAUUGAUAAACAUUGUGUUUUUCGUGGAAGCAUUUAGAGUGGUAUGACCAGAAAGCUGAAAACUGAAAAGGAUUUAUAUCUAAAAAUGAUUGUUCUCAAAUAGUUUCUUUGUACUAUAUAAUACUUUACUGUGUAAUACUUUACAUGGGCUCAAUGACCACAAGACAUUUACCAUCCAAUAAACUACAAUGCAAUAUGCUUGCUUUUAUAAAGAUCAUAAGGCUCAGUUUUUACUGACAUUCUAGGCCAUCCUCUUCUCCAGCAGUAGUUAGGGUGGUGAGGUCCCUGCAGGGUCCACAAUCACCAACCACAACUUUUCGUUUUGGGUGCUUUGAAUUCAUGGUACUCUUUGUGGUGGACGUAGGAUCAGUGGGUCCCAAAUCCUCUUCCGACCCAUUGUGCUCGGUGUGACGGAUACCGAACCACCUAGUAUCAGUACUAGCUGUCCUAACGCAGUUUUGCCGGCAGGUCGAUGCCGUUGCCCAAGGUGUGACCCAUGUUAUGGCCGAGCAGCUACAUGGAGCCAUGCGUGAGAGUUGGGUGCUGUAUGUGGACCAAUACAGAUCGGCCACCUAGCAGUACGGUACGUGCGACCCCUUUACUGUAGAGGUGCUACCACAAUAUAACACCCCAACUUUUGUGGUCAGUCAUCAGUCUGACCACCAAAAAUUGUCAUCAUUCCCCGCCACCCCGCCCUCGGCAUAGGCUUAAAUUGUUUGCAACAUUUCAUCGCCCAUUCGCCUUGUAUCCGUGGUUUUGAUUUGGGUUCAUUUGUUCCAAGUCCCAAGGAGGAGUUCAUCGAAGUAAGUUUUCACCCCAAACGAGCUGGUCCAAACCAAAAUGGCUGACUUCCUGGCUGUUUGUGAACACAGACAGUCCCAAUAUAAUGUGUCUGUGAUAGCGGCAAAUCUAAAAAUGAAAAAAGGUCAUGCAAAAUCUAUCUGUGGUGAUCCAAAUUUAUUUGUGGUGAGUCACCUCAAAUGAAUGUUUGGGAAGCUCUUAUAUUAAGGCCCCGAAUAUGCAACAAAUCUUUGAUAAAAAUAAUAAGCAUUGCAGUUGAAAUGUUUAUUAUUAUAGAAGUUUUAUACACACACAACACUAAACCUUUACAACACUCCAAUUUCUCUGGAGGAAAAACCUACAGUACAUGUUUAAGUAUUUAGAUGAUCUGUCUCUCUUCCAUUGUUAAUUCCCUUUCUUCUUGCCAUUUUUGUAGCAACAAAUUGUUUUCUCCAGUACAAUGCUGUUCAGGGCUGCACGGUGGCCUAGUGGUUAGCAUGUUGGCCACACAGUCAGAUCAGGAAGAUCUGGGUUUGAAUCUCCGUUGGGCAUCUCUGUUUGCAUAUUCCUUCCACAUUCCAAAAACAUUCAGUUUCCAUAGAAGAUGGAUGGAUGGACAACGCUGUUCAUCUGAUGUUCACGAGGGUAUGGUACCACACCGUUUUCUGAACACUGUUUUUAUACAGACAGAGGAGGUAGUAAGUUGGCUGCACCAAUUGCCAACCUCCAUUUCUGCAGAACAGCUUUAAACUGUUGACCCAUUUUGUGGUCCCUGAAGCAGGCCUUUUUGUAUCAUUCUGAAAUACACAUUAUUUUUCAGUUUUGGGUAACAUUACCUCUGGCAGCUCACCACCUUUGUACCAUUUCAAGCUAUUCAUUGGACUUGAACAACUUGAAUUUCAAUAAAUAACUGGAAAAUUGAGGGUGUUCUAAAACUUUUGACCGGUAGUGUGUUGUAGUAGAAUGUGUGUGUAUUGUGGGUUUGUACUGGUGUGUACUGGUGUACUGUAAUCCAUUCUGACGUCUGACACCAAGCAAACAAUGGAUAAUAUUUUUUUCUAUUGUGGGUAACUUAAUUCAAACAUACAAUGAAUGAAGCUGAUAAAACCAUGCUUUACAUCCAGCAUUAUUUGCUAAUGUGCAUGUUCAUCUUAACAC